rnacentral:rRNA from 1 species
UACGUAGGGGGCGAGCGUUAUCCGGAAUUAUUGGGCGUAAAGAGUACGUAGGCGGGAGCUUAAGCACAGGGUUUAAGGCAAUGGCUUAACCACUGUAUGCCUUGUGAACUGAGCUUCUUGAGUGCAGGAGGGGAAAGCGGAAUUCCUAGUGUAGCGGUGAAAUGCGUAGAUAUUAGGAGGAACACCAGUGGCGAAGGCGGCUUUCUGGACUGUAACUGACGCUGAGGUACGAAAGUGUGGGGAGC